CCUGCAGGGAAUGCGCGAGCUUCGUACCGGCGGUGCAGAGUCCGUUCAGCGUCUGGAGGUCCAGGAAUGAUGAGUGAAAAAGACGACAUAGAGUGCCGUGAAGCAUCCCGACAAUGAACUCACCUGAAGGUACGGAAGCAUUGUAUCCGUGGAAUACCGAGGUAGAAUAAACACCGAGAUACCCAACCUGGUGCGCAACGUUUCUAUCACGCCUGCGCUCGAUCGCUCCUUCUCUGCGCUGACUAUCAGAGCCAAGCCUCAACGUAGAGACGUAACGACGACGGAACGCCUGCGCUCUUCGUUUAACUGUAAGCGGAGAAGAACAGUGACGGUUGAAUGGAAGCAAACGUCUGUGGAACACUCUUUUGCUCAUGUGCAGUGUACAUCUAGUGGCGGUAAGAGUUCUCUUCAACAAGAUCGCGCAAUGCCGAUAUUUGCUUACCAAUCGAAAGGUUUCCCCGGGUACCCCCGAUCUGGUUACAGUCUCUCUUCCC